rnacentral:rRNA from 1 species
CCUACGGGAGGCAGCAGUGAGGAAUAUUGGUCAAUGGGCGGAAGCCUGAACCAGCCAAGUCGCGUGAGGGAAGAAGGCCCUGCGGGUCGCAGACCUCUUUGGACGGGGAGCAAGGCCGCCGACGUGUCGGCGGAAGGAGAGUACCCGUAGAACAAGCAUCGGCUAACUCCGUGCCAGCAGCCGCGGUAAUACGGAGGAUGCGAGCGUUAUCCGGAUUUAUUGGGUUUAAAGGGUGCGUAGGCGGGCUGUUAAGUCAGCGGUCAAAUGUCGGGGCUCAACCCCGGCCUGCCGUUGAAACUGGCGGC